rnacentral:rRNA from 1 species
CCUACGGGUGGCUGCAGUGAGGAAUAUUGGUCAAUGGGCGGAAGCCUGAACCAGCCAAGUAGCGUGCGGGAUGAAGGCCCUACGGGUCGUAAACCGCUUUUGCACGGGGAUAACACCCUCCACUUGUGGAGGUCUGCAGGUACCGUGCGAAUAAGGGCCGGCAAAUUCCGUGCCAGCAGCCGCGGUAAUACGGAAGGCCCGAGCGUUAUCCGGAUUCAUUGGGGUAAAAGGGAGCGUAGGCGGGCGGUCAAGUCAGUGGUAAAAUCGCGCGGCUCAACCGCGCCCCGCAGUUGAAACUGGACGGCUUGAGUUCAGAAGAGGCAGGAGGAAUUCGUGGUGUAGCGGUGAAAUGCAUAGAGAUCAGGAGGAACACCGAUUGCGAAGGCAGCCUGCUGGAGUGCGACUGACGCUGAGGCUCGAAGGUGCGGGUAGCAAACAGGAUUAGAUACCCUAGUAGUC